CGAGUGGCGGACGGGUGAGUAAUGUCUGGGAAACUGCCCGAUGGAGGGGGAUAACUACUGGAAACGGUAGCUAAUACCGCAUAACGUCGCAAGACCAAAGAGGGGGGCCUUCGGGCCUCUUGCCAUCGGAUGUGCCCAGAUGGGAUUAGCUAGUAGGUGGGGUAACGGCUCACCUAGGCGACGAUCCCUAGCUGGUCUGAGAGGAUGACCAGCCACACUGGAACUGAGACACGGUCCAG
rnacentral:rRNA from 1 species